GUGCUUGCUUCGGGAGCACAUACACUAAAAUUGCACGGAUACAGAGAUUACCAUGGCCCCUGAGCAAGGAUGACACGCAAAUUGGUGGAGUGUUCCACAUUUUA